GAGGGAUUGUUAGCCAAGAUGGCGGUGGCGGCUGCCGCGGCGAGGGUUUGGGGGUCAAGCCGAGGCUUGCGCCGGGUUGGCCUCCUGCUCCUGCGGCGGCCAGGGGCUCGUGGGCUGGCUAGAUCAGGGAGGAGACUGAAGCUCAGCGAGGUGAGGUCUGAACUUGGAGCUCCAGACUCCAAAGCCUAGUCUCCUUCCACAGUACCAGGCUGCCAGGAGGAGAAGGGCUAGGCCUUCGGUUCAGGUCUUGCAACAUCCUGCUUAGUCCAGACAUGGACCGGGCUUCCCUGGCACAACUACGGAGCCUGUGCUCUAGAGCCCGCGAGCCACAACUACUGAAGCCUGUGUGCCUAGAGCCCGUGCUCUGCAACAAAGAAGCCACCACAAUGAGAAGCCCGUGCACCGCAACGAGUGGCCCCCGUUGGCCGCCAACUAGAGAAAGCCCGCGGACAGCAACGAAAUAAAUAAAUAAAUGCAGCCAAAAAUAAAUAAAUAAAAUUUUUUUAAAAAGACAAGCACUGUAAAAAAAAAAAAAAAAAAAAAUCAGGACCGUCUGUGAGAUAGAUGCUCACACCGCCCUUGGUUUACACAUGAGGAAACUGAUGCUCCGGGAGCUGUAAUUACACUCCGAAGGCAGCAGUCAGCUCCCAGUCCCUGCCCUUAACUGUGGCCCCGUAAGGAGUGGCUCGAGGAGGGGCCACCCCAGUACCUGUGGGGCAGAACUUGGCCUUCCAGAACAGGCGUCUGUGUCCUGUGUGGUAGGAGAGAGCGUGGCUUCAAGGCUUUGUG